UUGAAAAGAGAGUUAAACAGCACGUGAAAUUGUUGAAAGGGAAGCGCUUGCGACCAGACUCGCCCGCGGGGUUCAGCCGGCAUUCGUGCCGGUGUACUUCCCCGUGGGCGGGCCAGCGUCGGUUUGGGCGGCCGGUCAAAGGCCCCUGGAAUGUAGUACCCUCCGGGGUACCUUAUAGCCAGGGGUGCAAUGCGGCCAGCCUGGACCGAGGAACGCGCUUCGGCACGGACGCUGGCAUAAUGGUCGUAAACGACCCGUCUUGAAACACGGACCAAGACGCGCGUCGUCUACGACAUUUAUCCCCGUCCG
rnacentral:rRNA from 1 species